rnacentral:rRNA from 1 species
ACGGGAGGCAGCAGUGGGGAAUUUUGGGCAAUGGGCGAAAGCCUGACCCAGCAACGCCGCGUGAAGGAUGAAAUCCUUCGGGAUGUAAACUUCGCAAGAACGGGAAGAAUAAGUAAGGGUUAAUAUCUCUUACGAUGACGGUACUGUUUGUAAGCUCCGGCUAACUCCGUGCCAGCAGCCGCGGUAAUACGGGGGGAGCAAGCGUUGUUCGGAUUUACUGGGCGUAAAGGGCGCGUAGGCGGCCACCGCAAGUCGACUGUGAAAUCUCCGGGCUUAACCCGGAAAGGUCAGCCGAUACUGCGGGGCUAGAGUGCAGAAGGGGCAACUGGAAUUCUCGGUGUAGCGGUGAAAUGCGUAGAUAUCGAGAGGAACACCUGCGGCGAAGGCGGGUUGCUGGGCUGACACUGACGCUGAGGCGCGAAAGCUAGGGGAGCGAACGGGAUUAGAUACCCCGGUAGUCCUAGCCUUAAACGAUGAAUGCUUGGUGUCUGGGGUUUUAUAGUCCCCGGGUGCCGUCGCUAACGCUUUAAGCAUUCCGCCUGGGGAGUACGGUCGCAAGACUGAAACUCAAAGGAAUUGACGGGGACCCGCACAAGCGGUGGAGCAUGUGGUUUAAUUCGACGCAACGCGAAGAACCUUACCUGGGCUAGAAUGCCUCUGACAGCCGUAGAGAUACGGAUUCCUGGGUAAAACCAGGCAGAGUGCAAGGUGCUGCAUGGCUGUCGUCAGCUCGUGUCGUGAGAUGUUGGGCUAAGUCCCGCAACGAGCGCAACCCUUAUCAAUAGUUGCCAGCGGUUCGGCCGGGCACUCUAUUGAGACUGCCGUUGACAAAACGGAGGAAGGUGGGGAUGACGUCAAGUCCUCAUGGCCUUUAUGUCCAGGGCUACACACGUGCUACAAUGGCGAGUACAAAGCGCUGCAAACCUGCAAGGGGGAGCCAAUCGCAAAAAGCUCGUCUCAGUUCGGAUUGGAGUCUGCAACUCGACUCCAUGAAGUUGGAA